AGAAGCACAGCCUUAAUCCCUGCCAAUGCCCUACAAGCACUGUCCAGACAGGGUUGUACAAGCCCCUGGAGCUGCUGCCAGGUUGCAGUAAAGCUUACAAAGACUAUGCUUGGGGCGAGAGACAGAGGCUUUGUGUGUACCAAGGAAAUUUGGUGUAUGAAGAGAGUGGAGCUGGGCACAGGACUGAUACAACUUGCCAGCAAGUGAGUUCCUCCACAAUUUAGUCUUGGCUGUGUCUGCAGUGAGAAAGUACUACUUGGAACAUGAAGGAAUUUGAAAGAACACACAGAGGAAAACAAAAAAUCCAAGAUGUCAUUUUGCAUUUGAUUUCAAAAAGUGAAUUUAGCAGGUGAGAACAUGUUAAUAGCUAUAUGUUUUUGCUUUGACAGGGACA
rnacentral:lncRNA from 1 species